rnacentral:tRNA from 1 species
GCCUGGGUGGCUCAGUUGGUUGAGCAUCUGACUUCAGCUCAGAUCACGAUCUUGCGGUUUCUGGGUUUGAGCCCCACGUCAAGCU